rnacentral:rRNA from 1 species
GUCCUUGCCGUAAACGAUGUGGAUUGGGUGUUGGGAGUGUCGAUCCUCUCAAUGCCGAAGUUAACACAUUAAAUCCACCACCUGGGGAGUACGGUCGCAAGACUGAAACUCAAAGGAAUUGACGGGGACCCGCACAAGCGGUGGAGCAUGUGGUUUAAUUCGAGGCUACGCGAAGAACCUUACCUAGGCUUGACUUGCUAGCAGUAGGCCUGAUGAAAGUCGGGCCGAUCGUGUCCAAUCGAAGGCUAGCACAGGUGCUGCAUGGCUGUCGU